CAUUUCAAUGACUUUUUAAUCGUGUAAACAUUAGCUUUGCUAUUACUGAUAAGAGACUCACGGUCGAUGUACAUUAACGCCUUUUGAUCAAUUACUAAGAGAAUUCGAAUAUUUCGAAUUUCGUAAAAAUGACGUUAAAAAAAAUACUAUAAACGACGAAAACUUAAGACUUAUUUUACGAAAUUUUAUUAUAAAUAAUAGAAACGCUUGUUGUAGUUAUUCUCACGAUUUCUUACAAGGUAUCCAGUCAAGAACUGGCGCAUUAAACGUUAUUAUAAUAAGCAGGGGCUUCGUAACAAUUGAUAAACAAUGGGAGAUUGCACAAUAAGUGUUUUAUUAUGCCAGGUGUAUUAAUUAUCAUAAAACAACAAGGCUACAACGUCAAAUGAAAAUACGCGGUGUAAAACAAACGAUAAUAAUUAUAAGGACGAAGGAAAGUCUUCUAGAUGCCUACGUGCGCAGACAGAGUGUGAGGUAAUAUUAAGCCCAGUGGGCUUAAGAAACAAGUCAGAAGUAAAAGUCAGGCCCGAGGAAAAAUUCGAACGUGAAAUUGUAGAUUCAAAGGACGCUACGUAGACCCAACAACGCGACAGUCUUACAUACGAAUAAGUAUCCUAAUAGCGAUGAAAUCUCCCACGAAGUUUCAAAGUAGAGACGACGAAGAGGAGGUCUCCAGAAAUAAAUCUAUGCUUCUGGACGCUUUGCAGUAAUUUCCGAAUGAGUAAAACAACAUCCUAAAGUCUGGUACUAGUACCGUUAAUUAUUUUAAUACAAUAGUUCAGUACGUUUUUAUCUGAAAGAUUUUUUUGUUUCUUUAAGUAAUCUAUAGACCUGUCGAGAUUUAUAAUAUAUUCCAAACAGCGCCCACCAUAAUAAA